ACUUACUUGACUCAAAAGAAAUGUAUAAAUUACAAUCAAAAGAGCAGGUUCUGAAGGUCCAACAAAAGUAACCUACUAUCAAGCUAUAAGCUUGGAAAUGAUAAAUAAUGAGAGGGUGAGUUCAACAAAUCAGUGAGUAGAUAACAUUCAAUAUACACACAUGAGAUAA